rnacentral:misc_RNA from 1 species
UGCGCUAUUCUUCGGACAAGAACUCGGUUCAACAGCCAAUGCCUUAUUCCUCUUCCCCCAUGGGAAGAGAGCUUCAAACAGCAGGAUAGGGUGUCUGGUGCAAGUGGACAAUUCAAUCAAUCUGACAUUCAAUCUUCUUAACCUAAAAAGCCAACUCGAGGGGCGUAGCGGUAGUGACGAUUGCCGAAUUCCCUUCUUCGGGUGGCAAGCCAGGAGCAUACUUUCCCUAAAUCAAAUGGAGAAGGUAACUUAAACUCCUGGUGAAUCUGAAGCCUGUUGUCGCUUUGAAGACGUGCGUUCUUCUUUUUUUUUCUUUUCACGCAAGCUGAUGAGCUGCACCAAUGGGACUUUAUAGCUAACUGAAGGGAAGUAAACCGAAGGACAAUUUGAGCUUUUCUUUACAUACAAGCUCUUUCGUCGAGAUUUGAUUGAUGAACCUACCCGUGGUAAGCACCUACCUUAGUAUCAGUAAAACGAAGAAAUCCAUUCAUCAAUGGCGCAGCAGAGGGCAUAGGUUAAGAUCUUACCAGGUACAGCACAGCAGGGUCAGGGUCG